rnacentral:rRNA from 1 species
AGAACUUAGCAGAGAUGCUUUGGGUGCCCUUUCGGGGAACUCUGAGACAGGUGCUGCAUGGCUGUCGUCAGCUCGUGUUGUGAAAUGUUGGGUUAAGUCCCGCAACGAGCGCAACCCUUAUCCUUUGUUGCCAGCGGUUAGGCCGGGAACUCAAAGGAGACUGCCAGUGAUAAACUGGAGGAAGGUGGGGAUGACCGUCAAGUCAUCAUGGCCCUUACGAGUAGGGCUACACACGUGCUACAAUGGCGCAUACAAAGAGAAGCGACCUCGCGAGAGCAAGCGGACCUCAUAAAGUGCGUCGUAGUCCGGAUUGGAGUCUGCAACUCGACUCCAUGAAGUCGGAAUCGCUAGUAAUCGUGGAUCAGAAUGCCACGGUGAAUACGUUCCCGGGCCUUGUACACACCGCCCGUCACACCAUGGGAGUGGGUUGCAAAAGAAGUAGGUAGCUUAACCUUCGGGAGGGCGCUUACCACUUUGUGAUUCAUGACUGGGGUGAAGUCGUAACAAGGUAAGCGUAGUGCU